rnacentral:rRNA from 1 species
GUCGAACGCGAAAGCCCCGCAAGGGGUAAGUAGAGUGGCAAACGGGUGAGUAACACGUGGGUGACCUGCCUUCGAGUGGGGGAUAACGUCCCGAAAGGGACGCUAAUACCGCAUGACAUCCUGCUCUUGGACGAGCGGAGAUCAAAGCUAGGGAUCGCAAGACCUGGCGCUUGAAGAGGGGCCCGCGCCUGAUUAGCUAGUUGGUGGGGUAACGGCCUACCAAGGCAACGAUCAGUAGCCGGCCUGAGAGGGCGGACGGCCACACUGGGACUGUGACACGGCCCAGACUCCUACGGGAGGCAGCAGUGGGGAAUUGUUCGCAAUGGGCGCAAGCCUGACGACGCAACGCCGCGUGGAGGACGAAGAUCUUCGGGUCGUAAACUCCUGUCGAGCGGGAAGAACACCCACCCGGUGAACAAUCGGGAGGGCUGACGGUACCGCUAAAGGAAGCCCCGGCUAACUCCGUGCCAGCAGCCGCGGUAAUACGGGGGGGGCAAGCGUUGUUCGGAAUUACUGGGCGUAAAGGGCGCGUAGGCGGCCAACUAAGUCGGAUGUGAAAUCCCCAGGCUUAACCUGGGAACUGCAUCCGAUACUGGUCGGCUUGAAUCCGGGAGAGGGAUGCAGAAUUCCAGGUGUAGCGGUGAAAUGCGUAGAUAUCUGGAGGAAUACCGGUGGCGAAGGCGGCAUCCUGGACCGGCAUUGACGCUGAUGUGCGAAAGCUAGGGGAGCAAACGGGAUUAGAU